rnacentral:rRNA from 1 species
AUGGCUCCGAUCGCCUCCUUUGCCGCAGCGGUGCUUCUACUCCUCGCACUGGCGUCACCGGCGGCAACCUUCAACAUCACCAGAAUCCUUGGCGAGUUUCCCGACUUCUCCACGUUCAACGGCCUCCUCAGUCAGACGAAGCUCGCGGACGAGAUCAACCGCCGGCAGACUAUUACGGUGCUGGCAGUCAACAAUGGAGGGAUGGGCGCCAUCACCUCGCUCCCCUCGGACAUCCAGCGGAAGGUGCUCGCCGUGCACGUGGUCCUGGACUACUACGACGCGGAGAAGCUGGGCAGCAUGAAGAACCGCUCGGCCGUGCUCACGACGCUCUUCCAGUCUACCGGCCAGGCCACCAACCGGAUGGGCUUUAUCAACUACACCAGGCGCGCCGCCGACGGCGUCAUGAUGUUCGGCUCCGCCGAGCCCGGCGCCCCAUUGACGUCCCAGAUGGUGAAGCCCGUCAUGUCCCGCCCCUACAACAUCUCCGUGCUGGAGGUCAGCUCUGCCAUCGUGCCUCCCAGCAUCGGCUCCGUCGACAACAGCAGAGCUCGCGCUCCGGCGCCUGCCCUUACUAAGAUUCCUGCGCCAGCACCGGCGCCGUCCAAGAGCAAGAAGCCAAAGACGGAGGGAGCCCCCACCCCUGCUCCUGCCCCGUCCGACGACGAUUCUAGCACUAACGCACCUGCCGACGCGGAUGGGCCCGACGCGGACGGCCCGGCGACGGAUGGGCCCGAUGCGGACGGCCCGGCGGCGGAUGCGCCGGCAGAUGAUGAUGAUGACAAGAGCAGCGACGACACCGGGGACGCUGCGGGCAGGGUGGUUGCCCGUGCAAGUCUCGGUAUCGUGGCGCUUCUGGUGAUUCUUGUUUCGCUCUGA